rnacentral:ncRNA from 1 species
GUUUAUCAUACUUGUAGAGUUCAGUAGAUAUAUGACCUCGUGCUGUUUAAAAGUUGAAGCCAGAGGAAACUCUGAUGAUGGUGGACCGUAGUGUUUGUGACGUGCUAAUCGAUCGUAUAACUUGAGUAUACGAGCGACGAACUAUCUAGUAGCUGGUUCUCUCCAAAGUGUUUCCUCAGGAUAGUUAGUAUUCUGAGAAUUAAAGGACUUUAUCGGGUAAAGCGAAUGAUUGGAGGCAUUGGGGAGGAAUCAUCGUCAAACUAUUCUCAAACUUUCAUUGGAUGAGAAUCUUGACUCGUUUGAUUGAAGUUUUGCGUGAAAUGUGAGUGCCAAGUGGGCCAUUUUUGGUAAGCAGAACUGGCGCUGUCCGUUAAGGUGCCUAACACGACGCUCAUGAGAUACCACAAAAUGUGUUGGUUGAUCUAGACAGAAUGACGGUAGCCAUGGAAGUCGAAAGCCGCUAAGGAGUGUGUAACAACUCACCUGCCGAACCAAUCAGCCCUGAAAAUGGAUGGUGCUCGAGUGUUGGACCUAUACCGGACGGUUGCAGUAAGCAGUUCAGUCAUUUAUACGAAGAUAUCUAAACAAUUAAUUGAUUAGCCUUAAUAACCUGUAUGUAUAUAU